AAGAUGGCGCUAGCGGUUGGAGCAGGGGCUCUGCUGCGACCUUUACGGUAGUGAGGUUAGGGACGAUGGGAGAGCAGCUUUGUUCCUGAAGUGCCGUCGAGGAUUAGGAUCGAGUUUCUUCGAUCGUGAGGGCAAUUAUUAGUGGCCUCUAGCCCCCCAGAUGGCAUCUUGAGGAGAGAGAAUCCACGCUACGAGAACUAACAUAGUGGACAUCGCAGUUGUCCGUAGCCGAUUUGCGGGUUACGGAGUUGUUGCAAGGCAAGAAGGAGAAGGAAUUUAUUUGAGGCCCUACGACGUGGUGCGGUGGCUCACGCCUGUAAUCCCAACACUUUGGGAGGCCGAGGCAGGCGGAUCAUCUGAGAUCGAGAGUUCGAGACCAGCUUGACCAACAUGGAGAAACCCCGUCUCUACUAAAAGUACAAAAUUAGCCAGGCAUGGUGGCACAUGCCCGUAAUCCCAGCUACUCGGGAGGCUGAGGCAGGAGAGUAGCUUGAGCCCAGGAGGCGGAGGUUGUGGUGAGCCGAGAUCGCGCCAUUGCACAGCCUGGGCAACGAGCGAAACUCCAUCUCAAAAAAAUAAAUAAAAAUUUUUUUAAAAAAGAAA
rnacentral:lncRNA from 1 species